CACUAUGGCGGCUGUGCGCGGGAGACCUUCGGGUCUGCCGGUUUGGGAGUAGUGUCCGGUUCGCCAACCUGCGUACAGCUGCCACCCUU
rnacentral:antisense_RNA from 1 species